rnacentral:rRNA from 1 species
CCUCCACAAUGCACGAAAGUGUGAUGGGGUUACCCCGAGUGCCUUCCGUUGAGGAGGGCUUUUAACUGGUGUAAGAAGCCAGUAGAAUAAGGGGGGGGCAAGAUUGGUGUCAGCCGCCGCGGUAAUACCAACCCCCCGAGUGGUAGGGACAAUUAUUGGGCUUAAAGCGUUCGUAGCCGGCUUGGAUAGUCUUCCGUUAAAUCCAGCGACUAAUCGUUGGGCUGCGGAAGAUACUUUCAAGCUAGGAGGCGGAAGAGGUCGGCGGUAUUCCUAGGGGAGGGGUGAAAUCCUAUAAUCCUAGGAGGACCACCAGUGGCGAAGGCGGCCGACCAGUACGCGCUCGACGGUGAGGGACGAAAGCUGGGGGAGCGAACCGGAUUAGAUACCCGGGUAGUCCCAGCCGUAAACGAUGCAGGCUAGGUGUCGGGGUGGCUACGUGCCGCUUCGGUGCCGCAGGGAAACCGUUAAGCCUGCCGCCUGGGGAGUACGACCGCAAGGUUGAAACUUAA